rnacentral:rRNA from 1 species
CAGUAGCCACGGUAAAACGUAGGUGGCAAGCGUUGUCCGGAAUUAUUGGGCGUAAAGGGCUCGCAGGCGGUUUCUUAAGUCUGAUGUGAAAGCCCCCGGCUCAACCGGGGAGGGUCAUUGGAAACUGGGAAACUUGAGUGCAGAAGAGGAGAGUGGAAUUCCACGUGUAGCGGUGAAAUGCGUAGAGAUGUGGAGGAACGCCAGUGGCGAAGGCGACUCUCUGGUCUGUAACUGACGCUGAGGAGCGAAAGCGUGGGGAGCGAACAGGAUUAGAGACCCCUGUAGUCCCUGUCUCUUAUAC